AAGUAAAAGGAAGUGAGUAUCCGCGAAGUUACUACAAGUGCACACAUCCAAAUUGUCCAGUGAAAAAGAUGGUCGAAAGAUCUUUAGAUGGACAGAUUGCAGAAAUUGUCUACAAGGGUGAACACAACCAUUCAAAGCCUCAGCCUCCUAAACACAACUCAUCAGGGAUGGAAGGGCUGGGAAUUGUAUCCGAUGGCAAUGGUCAAGGCAUAAGUACCCCAUUAUGGAAUAAUCAUCUCAAUGAAAGAAAUGAAGGUUCUAAAUGUAGAGGUGAAGAUCAGAAUGAAAAAGGAUUGCCUCUUCAUUCGACUUAUCAGGCUAAAGCUCCAUCAUCCCAUGAUCCUGCUGGAACUGGAUCAAUUAAUGCUGGUGUUGCAACUCCUGAUAACUCUUGUGGGCUUAGUGGGGAAUGUGAGGAAGGAAGUAGGGGAUUGGAGGGAGAUGGUGAUGAACCUAAAAUUAAAAGGAGGUAAGAGAUAAAGCAUUUAGAUAGUUUGAAAAUCUGUGGCGUUUUCCACAUUCACCAUAUUGUUGGAAAAGUGAUAAUCAUCUGGUCUUUCAUCAGUUGAUGUUCAACGCU
rnacentral:misc_RNA from 1 species